GACGUGUAUGACUUCGUAUGGAUUUAAAAGUCCAGAUAUAAUGUAUGUGGAUGCAUGAAGCGAAAUAUAAGGGGUCGUUAUGCCUCCGUGGACAUAUAGUGACCGGAUUUGUAUGCUUUUACAAGUUGUAUACAAUUGCACUCACACCCACGUUUUUUUUUAAAGACUGCACACUGUUACUACUACCCUAGCCCGCACGUAUUCCGGCAUAUUGACCAGAUUCGACCGUUCCCGGGGGCUGCCGCCGCUCCCGAAUCUCCGCCGCCCGCGUACUCGCUCC
rnacentral:lncRNA from 1 species